rnacentral:rRNA from 1 species
AUUGAACGCUGGCGGCAUGCCUUACACAUGCAAGUCGAACGGUAACAGGUCUUCGGAUGCUGACGAGUGGCGAACGGGUGAGUAAUACAUCGGAACGUGCCCGAUCGUGGGGGAUAACGCAGCGAAAGCUGUGCUAAUACCGCAUACGAUCUACGGAUGAAAGCGGGGGAUCGCAAGACCUCGCGCGGACGGAGCGGCCGAUGGCAGAUUAGGUAGUUGGUGGGAUAAAAGCUUACCAAGCCGACGAUCUGUAGCUGGUCUGAGAGGACGACCAGCCACACUGGGACUGAGACACGGCCCAGACUCCUACGGGAGGCAGCAGUGGGGGAAUUUUUGGGACAAUGGGCGCAAGCCUGAUCCAGCCAUGCCGCGUGCAGGAUGAAGGCCUUCGGUUGUAAACUGCUUUUGUACGGUAACGAAAAAGACUACUCUCUAAUACAGGGGUGAAGUGACGGUACCGUAAGAAUAAGCACCGGCUAACUACGUAG